rnacentral:ncRNA from 2 species
GGGGAAGCCGGUGCGAUUCCGGCGCUGACCCGCAACCGUGACCCGCCCCCGGCACCAUCCGGGCGGGGAGCCGGAAUGCCC